UACAUGUCGCACUGAGACUGGAUGGCUGGGGACAGAUGAGGACUGUCUACUUAAGAAGCUCAGAGUGAGUUAGAAACAUUGAUGAAGCCUCUAUUCUGUGAGGUGGAGGAGUGUGUGAACAGCCAUAUUCGCUGGAGUAGUGAACCAACUUGCCUUGACUGGAACCAUUAUUCACUUGCACCUUUGACAUCAGCAGCCAGGUAGGGGAAGAGAAGAAAAAUGUGUUUUGAAUGAACUGAGGUAGCAGGCCUGGAUGAAUAUUUUUUUCAU
rnacentral:lncRNA from 1 species